rnacentral:lncRNA from 1 species
AUGAAUCUAACUUCUUUAAAUUACAUUCUCCUAAUUACAUAUUCCUUGGACUCAUCGUUUAAGCAUAUAACAGUUAUAUGAGACGGCUUAAAACAAUAAUUUAUGCCCUUGAUAUUAAACUAGAUUAGUUUAACAUGUGAAAUGUCCGUAAAGUAUCAUCAUAUGAUUGGUUUUAUGGCACAUUUCCAACAAUUCUUGCUUUCUAAAGUCGUUGCAUGAUCUCAUUAUUUCUUUGCUUGGUUGCUACUUGGAAUGCUUUUUCAUCAUUUUAGUUCCAACUACUAGAACUCAUGCCCGUUUCAUUCAAAGCUUAAAAUUGAUUGCAUGACAAAUAACAAGAUGAAGUUGUUUAGUUACCACCAUAGCCAAAAAGCCUUAUCCCUUGCAUAUGUAUUGUAGGUUUAACCCUUUUGAGCCUUAUUUAGCCUAUUUUCUUUGUUAUCCUACAUUAUCCCUACCUAGCCUAGCAUAGGAAUAUCCAUACCCUUGUUCUUAAAGAAUAUUGAAGCAUGACUUGUUAGGAAUUCCUUUUGAUCUACGAUUUGCAGAGAAAUAAGUGUGGGGGAAUGAUUUGUUCUUUUGAAUCCGAUGAAGUGUAGUGUUUAUGUUUUAUGUUUCAAAAAAAAAAAAAAGAGAGAAAAAUGUUGAAAAAGGAACAGAAAAGAAAGAAGAAAAAAAAAGUUGAGAAAAGAAAAAAAGAGGUUGAAAAAAAAUUGUGAAUCUGACCCUAAAUGUUGUACGAAUCUCCCCUUUGUGCUUAAAGUUGGGUAUUGCAAUCAAAAGUUGAAUUCUAAGUGCUGAUUUCAUUAUUUUGCUUACUAUCACUUUAAGAAUCUUUGUUUAUCUUUAACCUUUCUUUGUUAGCCAAUACCUUAGCCCCAUUACAACCCUUAGA